rnacentral:rRNA from 1 species
UGAAGUGGGUAGUCCGCACGAGCGCACCUUACUUUUAGUUGCUACCAUUCAGUUGGGCACUCUAAAAGAACUGCCAGUGAUAAGCUGGAGGAAGGUGGGGAUGACGUCAAGUCCUCAUGGCCCUUAUGUGUUGGGCUACACACGUGCUACAAUGGUAUUUACAGUGGGAUGCAAAGAGGCAACUCUAAGCCAACCCCAAAAAGAUACCUCAGUUCGGAUUGCACUCUGCAACUCGAGUGCAUGAAGCUGGAAUUACUAGUAAUCGUGGAUCAGCGCGCCACGGUGAAUACGUUCCCGGGUCUUGUACACACCGCCCGUCACACCAUGGAAGUUGGUUACACCUUAAGGCAAAGUGUAAAAACUUUGACUACGGUACGAUCAGCGACUGGGGUGAAGUCGUAACAAGGUAGCCGUAGGGGAACCUGCGGCUGGAUCACCUCCUUUCU